rnacentral:rRNA from 1 species
AAUAUUUCACAAUGGGCGCAAGCCUGCUGCAGCAACGCCGCGUGAGGGAUGACGGCCUUCGGGGUGUAAACCUCUUUUAGUAGGGAAGAAGCGCAAGGGACGGUACCUACAGAAAAACCACCGGCUAACUACGUGCCAGCAGCCGCGGUAUUACGUAGGGCGCAAGCGUUGUCCGGAAUUAUUGGGCGUAAAGAACUCGUAGGCGGCUUGUCGCGUCUGCUGUGAGAACACGAGGCUCAACCUAGGGCUUGCAGUGGGUACGGGCAGGCUAGAGUGAGGUAGGGGAGAUUGGAAUUCAUGGUGUAGGGGUGGAAUGCGCAGAUAUCAAGAAGAACACCGAUGGCGAAGGAAGAUCUCUGGGCCGCUACUGACGCUGAGGGGCGAAAGCAUGGGGAGCGAACA